GCGGCUGUAGUAUAGCCUGGUAGUACGCGGGAUUGCCAAUUCUGUGACCCGGGUUCAAAUCCCGGCAGCCGCA
rnacentral:tRNA from 1 species